rnacentral:snRNA from 1 species
GUGCUCACUUCAGCAGAACAUACACUAAAAUGAUACAGAGAAGAUGAGCAUGGCCCCUGAGCAAGGAUGACAUGCAAAUUCAUGAGGCAUUCCAUAUAUUU